rnacentral:lncRNA from 1 species
UUGUUUCUAGGGCUCCAUAGGAUGUUUAUUCUCCUUUCCUCUUGUAUUGUAUUUGGUUACCAAAACUGUACUACUUCUUUGGUGUAAAAUUUUUUCCAAAUAUUAUAUCUCGAGAGCUUUGGACGAUUGUUUCUAGGGCUCCAUAGGAUGUUUAUUCUCCUUUCCUCUUGUAUUGUAUUUGGUUACCAAAACUGUACUACUUCUUUGGUGUAAAAUUUUUUC